AUGUCUUAGUGGAAACAUUCUUCAAUUGGCAGGCAUUGGCCAUAGUGCAAAAAUAUCCAGCUUUAUUAUUACCUUUAAGGCAGUUGCAUAUUACCAUUCAAUCAAAUCAACGUUCACCACAAUUUCUACUCUGUUGGCUUAAACCAAACAUUUAGAAUGCAGCAGUGAUUGGCCUUAUUUGUCUAACAAAUAUAGCAGGUAGCUUGUAUGUCUCACCAAUGAAUGACUGAUAGCAAAUGGUUUUUGGAGGAUGUUGUGGUCUUCUUAAGUACAUAUUGCCAUCAGUGUAGUUACUUGCUAGAAUCUAUCUUUACAUGGUGGCUGCAGCAUUUCAGUUGUCAAAUCAAUGAAAAUUAAGUGCUGUUGAUUUUUUUUUUUUUUUUUG